rnacentral:rRNA from 1 species
GACGAACGCUGGCGGCGUGCUUAACACAUGCAAGUCGAACGGAAAGGCCCUGCUUUUGUGGGGUGCUCGAGUGGCGAACGGGUGAGUAACACGUGAGUAACCUGCCCUUGACUUUGGGGUAACUUCAGGAAACUGGGGCUAAUACCGGAUAGGAGCUCCUGCUGCAUGGUGGGGGUUGGAAAGUUUCGGCCGUUGGGGAUGGACUCGCGGCUUAUCAGCUUGUUGGUGGGGUAGUGGCUUACCAAGGCUUUGACGGGUAGCCGGCCUGAGAGGGUGACCGGCCACAUUGGGACUGAGAGACGGCCCAGACUCCUACGGGAGGCAGCAGUGGGGAAUAUUGCACAAUGGGCGGAAGCCUGAUGAAGCAACGCCGCGUGCGGGAUGACGGCCUUCGGGUUGUAAACCGCUUUCGCUUGUGACGAAGCGUGAGUGACGGUAAUGGGUAAAGAAGCACCGGCUAACUACGUG